rnacentral:rRNA from 1 species
GACGAACCGUGCGAACGUUGUUCGGAAUCACUGGGCUUAAAGGGCGCGUAGGCGGUUGAUCAAGUCUGGGGUGAAAUCUUUCGGCUUAACCGGAAAAGUGCCUUGGAUACUGGUCAGCUGGAGGGAGGUAGGGGCAGUUGGAACUUCCAGUGGAGCGGUGAAAUGCGUUGAUAUUGGAAGGAACGCCGGUGGCGAAAGCGAGCUGCUGGACCUCUUCUGACGCUGAUGCGCGAAAAGCUAGGGGAGCAAACGGG